rnacentral:rRNA from 1 species
CGCGUAGGCGGCUCGCAAGGUCGGGGGUGAAAUCCCACGGCUUAACCGUGGAAGUGCCUUCGAUACCGGCGGGCUCGAGGAAGGUAGGGGUGCGCGGAACUUCUGGUGGAGCGGUGAAAUGCGUUGAUAUCAGAAGGAACGCCGGCGGCGAAAGCGGCGCACUGGACCUUUUCUGACGCUGAGGCGCGAAAGCCAGGGGAGCAAACGGGAUUAGAUACCCCGGUAGUCCUGGCCCUAAACGUUGGGCACUAGAUUGUGGGCUGUCAUGGGCUCACAGUCGAAGCAAAAGUGUUAAGUGCCCCGCCUGGGGAGUAUGGUCGCAAGGCUGAA